ACAGCAGCCGCCGUCAGUUGGGAGAAGAACAACAAAUCGAAUUGAUCAGUGCGGUUCCGAUAAUUCGAUGAUUGCGGUUCGUUUGGUGGCUAGUUCAACGUAAAAAUGGUGGUCAAAUAGACACCGGAUGCGUACAGGUUGCAACUGCCGGUAAACACGACGGUUUUCUUUUUGUAACAGUCUGGAAAUAAAGAGUGACCACAACUGGUAUGUCAACGCGCUGCAUCCGACACAACCCAGGUGCAUUCGUUGAUGAGGGUCGGCCCUUGGCAUUUCGCUCGCCGGAAGGUGCGUUCAGGAACGGAACGAAUUACUUUCAAUUCAACGAAAAGUGGUAAAUGAACUUCCGAAAAAAUGUGAAAAAUAAAUUAAAAGUGAAA